ACCUAGAGUUAAAGAAUAAUCACAAUUAGUAAAAUAGUUCAACAUAUUUCGCUUCGCACAUCAACCACGUGCAUUUCUUCAGUACAUAUUUGUUAGCGUCAAUAUACCAACAGAGUCGGAUUAAUGGAUGGACUGAUACAUUUAAGGAAAACAAACGCUUUGGAGGAUGUCUGCCCAUCAGUACCUGUCGUUUUUGGAUAGGCCAGAUACAGAAUAAUCAUGCAGGAAACACAUACCUUGGAAUAGACGUUUCUCGUCCUUCUCGUCCAAUGU